rnacentral:rRNA from 1 species
GGAGGAAUAUUGCGCAAUGGGCGAAAGCCUGACGCAGCGACGCCGCGUGAGGGAUGAAGGCCUUCGGGUUGUAAACCUCUGUCAGUGGGGAAGAGAACGGACGGUACCCACUGAGGAAGCUUCGGCUAACUACGUGCCAGCAGCCGCGGUAAGACGUAGGGAGCGAGCGUUGUCCGGAAUUACUGGGCGUAAAGAGCUCGUAGGCGGGAGCGCGCGUCUGGGAGGAAAUCUCACGGCUCAACCGUGUGGC